AGAGUUUGAUCAUGGCUCAGGAUGAACGCUAGCGGCAGGCUUAAUACAUGCAAGUCGAGGGGCAACAGGGGUAGCAAUACCUGCUGGCGACCGGCAAACGGGUGCGGAACACGUACAGAACCUUCCUUUAAGCGGGGGAUAGCCUUCGGAAACGGAGAUUAAUACCCCAUAGUAAUGUUGUUUGGCAUCAAAUAAUAUUUAAAGAUUUAUCACUUAAAGAUGGCUGUGCGUAUGAUUAGGUAGUUGGUUGAGGUAACGGCUCACCAAGCCUGCGAUCAUUAACUGGUGUGAGAGCACGACCAGUCACACGGGCACUGAGACACGGGCCCGACUCCUACGGGAGGCAGCAGUAAGGAAUAUUGGUCAAUGGACGCAAGUCUGAACCAGCCAUGCCGCGUGAAGGAUGAAGGCCCUCUGGGUUGUAAACUUCUUUUAUGUGGGAAGAAAUGCAUUCUUUAUAGAGUGUUUGACGGUACCAUAGGAAUAAGCACCGGCUAACUCCGUGCCAGCAGCCGCGGUAAUACGGAGGGUGCAAGCGUUAUCCGGAUUCACUGGGUUUAAAGGGUGCGUAGGUGGGCUUGUAAGUCAGUGGUGAAAUCUCCGUGCUUAACAUGGAAACUGCCAUUGAUACUAUAGGUCUUGAAUUUUCCGGAGGUUAGCGGAAUAUGUCUGUAGCGGUGAAAUGCUUAGAUAUGACAUAGAACACCAAUUGCGAAGGCAGCUAACUACAGGGACAUUGACACUGAGGCACGAAAGCGUGGGGAUCAAACAGGAUUAGAUACCCUAGUAGUCC
rnacentral:rRNA from 1 species